UAACCCAAAAACUAAGGUCCAAACCAUGGCUCAGGUUAACGUUCAGGACAAAAAUAUAGAGACCUAGUCAAGCACUAAGCAGACAAAGGAAUAUCAUCGUGCACCCUGCUUUGGAGCUUCUUGUAUCUUUGCAUUAUAUUAUCAGAGAAGAGAAUUCAUUUUUAUGGUACAUGCUUAUCAGAGAACAGUAUUGAUUUGCUUAUCUAAGGGUGAUUUAUUUUUUAAAGUGAAAAUGGAAAAUGAAUACUGGCUUGCAAAAUGCGAUAAAGAUAUAAAAUUAUUCUUAAGAAACAGUUGGUUUCUUGACAAGAAUCAAAUACUCAUAGUCGAACAAACAAAAAAUCACUGUAAAAAAAAGUUUUUUAUUUUUUUAAUUUUUUGAUCUUUCAUUGCAAGUGAAUAAAGAAAAAAAGUGAAAGGAAGUAUAAGAAAAAUGCAGAGUGAAUGAUUCCAAGAUAUAACUCGCUCCUGCAGCACCCGGGCAAGAAGCGGUCAAAACCUAUUUUAAUCUUUUUGUGAAUCAUUUUAUUCUGAUUGUCAAGAUGAGAAAAAACAUUUGAUUUGCAAUUCUCAUUGAAUUUUUGCUGACAAUGGUUUCAAAAACAGUCGCUCAUCAUUUACUGUUAAUUAUUAUCAUCAUCAUCAUCAAGCAGCAUUAUUGAGUAAACAACUACUAAAACAAUAAUAAUAAUAAUA
rnacentral:misc_RNA from 1 species